CUGGCCACGGCGCCCUGCCGUUGCUAGGUAACACCUUUGGGCCAGCUCCCCCAGCUGCUGACCUGAUUAGUUAAUUGCAAAAGUAAACUGAGCGAACAAUGAAAUCACUAAAACAGCAAGGCAUCGACUAGGCAAACUAUCACUCUUCUAUUGUCGCCUGGUGACGGCCGAAAAGACGUGUUUGUAAUGCCUCUCAGGAGGAGAUAGGUGAGUAGGUCGUGCCCUUUAAAUUAAAUAGGUCUGUCAAACUGCUGAACAUGCAAUAGCUUUACACCAAAUGACCUGAUUCUGAAAAGUCUGUUCUGGGAUAUUUUUCAAGCAGUAUUAGCUAUUCCUAAACAUUAGCCGUGAUCAGUCUUUGCGAAACAGUGGAUAAUGUGUUUUAUUAGAAGCUCCUGCCUGGUGCAUCGACAUCUUGGCUCCUGCCUGGCACAUCGACAUCCUCUGCUCCCACUCCCUCUGGACACCUGUCUGGUAUCAGCAUCCUCUGCUUCCUCAUGGCCUGGUGGUCACCCCCUUCUCCUCGCCGGGACUCUGGUGCAGUGGUUUAGAUGGUACCAUGUGUUGCUUCCUUUCACCUGGAUGGCUGUUGUGUUGCUUGGGCCACCUCGAGGCUGUAAUCUCUGCUAAAGAUGCUUCAACAAAGUUCUGAGUGAAGGGUCUGAAUACUUAUGUAAAUCUGAUAUUUCUAUAAACCUGUUUUUGCUUUGUCAUUAUAGGGUAUUGUGUGUUGAUUGAUGAGGGUAAAAAAAUCAAUUUUAGAAUACCAUAACCAUAACAAAAUGUGGGAAAAGUCAAGGGGUCUGAAUACUUUCCGAAUGCACUGUAUAAUUGUUCACAAAAACUGUCUUUUAUUCCUACAGAUAAUCUUUGGUGCUGAAACUUUGCAGAUGCUGAACGUACAAUAAAUGUAACAGCACAAGCAAUGAGUCUUUUGCAAUUUAUUUGACCACAGGGAAUGAGCAGCUGUACAUAUAAUUCACAUUUAAACACAUGUUUCAAGGUCUGGAUGUUGGGGCUUGUUGAUUUUACUGUCAUGCUGUUUUUUUGAAGUUUGUCUCUUCUGCUAGCUAAACGGAUGCAGGCAGAAUCCAAAAUCGAG
rnacentral:lncRNA from 8 species